rnacentral:pre_miRNA from 3 species
UGCUCCCUCUCUCACAUCCCUUGCAUGGUGGAGGGUGAGCUUUUUGAAAACCCCUCCCACAUGCAGGGUUUGCAGGAUGGUGAGCC